CUUCUUAAGCAGAGCACUGACAGAUGGAAGACACCAGAGCCUUAAACCAGUCGUGUUUUUGUGCUUGGAUGUACUCACCUGCCUUGACGUCUCGUCUGAAGAAUCAGAUCUCCAGAACUCUGUCGCUCAGAUUUUGCUCUGGCUCUCCCCUUAUACUCCCUGGGUGUUACCCAGCGGGGCCUGAGAUUUCCCCUCCCGGAUUCUACUGGUUCUUCCUUCAAUCUGGUCGAUCCAUCUGUCACCCAAUUCUGUGGAAGCUCGCUCUGGAUCCCUCGCUGACAACAUCUGCCGCCCUCCAGCCUCUAGCCGCAAAACAUCAACAGAGUCUCACCAGCCGUGACGUUCUGACCUCGCUGAGUUGCCCGUAGUCUCUUCCUUUAUAUCUGCCACUUCCUAAAUAAACAUCUUAAAACUGUGCUUGGCUUUCCGAUCG